GGGGCCCAGUUGGUUAGAGCGUGGUGUUGAUAACGCCAAGGUUGCAGGUUUGAUCCCCGUGUGGGGCA